AGUGAACGCUGGCGGUAGGCCUAACACAUGCAAGUCGAACGGCAGCACCGUAAGAGCUUGCUCUUACGGGUGGCGAGUGGCGGACGGGUGAGGAAUACAUCGGAAUCUACUUUUUCGUGGGGGAUAACGUAGGGAAACUUAUGCUAAUACCGCAUACGACCUACGGGUGAAAGCAGGGGAUCUUCGGACCUUGCGCGAUUGAAUGAGCCGAUGUCGGGUUAGCUAGUUGGCGGGGUAAAGGCCCACCAUGGCGACGAUCCGUAGCUGAUCUGAGAGGAUGAUCGGCCACACUGGAACUGAGACACGGUCCAGACUCCUACGGGAGGCAGCAGUGGGGAAUGUUGGACAAUGGGCGCAAGCCUGAUCCAGCCAUACCGCGUGUGUGAAGAAGGCCUUCGGGUUGUAAAGCCCUUUUGUUGGGAAAGAAAAGCAGCAGGUUAAUACCCCGCUGUUCUGACGGUACCCAAAGAAUAAGCACCGGCUAACUACGUG
rnacentral:rRNA from 1 species